rnacentral:rRNA from 1 species
CAGGAUGAACGCUAGCUACAGGCUUAACACAUGCAAGUCGAGGGGCAGCAUGAAACUUAGCUUGCUAAGUUUGAUGGCGACCGGCGCACGGGUGAGUAACACGUAUCCAACCUACCGUUUACUACGGGAUAGCCUUCUGAAAAGGAGAUUAAUACCGUAUGGCAUUCUAAAGUUUCAUGACAUUAGAAUUAAAGGUUUACCGGUAAUCGAUGGGGGAUGCGUUCCAUUAGAUAGUAGGCGGGGUAACGGCCCACCUAGUCUACGAUGGAUAGGGGUUCUGAGAGGAAGGUCCCCCCACAUUGGAACUGAGACACGGUCCAAACUCCUACGGGAGGCAGCAGUGAGGAAUAUUGGUCAAUGGGCGCGAGCCUGAACCAGCCAAGUAGCGUAGAAGGAUGACUGCCCUAUGGGUUGUAAACUUCUUUUAUAAAGGAAUAAAGUAGUCCACGUGUGGAUUUUUGUAUGUACUUUAUGAAUAAGGAUCGGCUAACUCCGUGCCAGCCGCAGC